rnacentral:rRNA from 1 species
UACGUAGGUGGCAGGCGUUGUCCGGAUUUACUGGGCGUAAAGAGCGCGCAGGCGGUCGUUCAAGUCGCGUGUGAAAGCCCCCGGCUCAACUGGGGAGGGUCACGCGAUACUGAUCGACUCGAAGGCAGGAGAGGGUAGUGGAAUUCCCGGUGUAGUGGUGAAAUGCGUAGAUAUCAGGAAGAACACCAAUGGCGAAGGCAGCUCUCUGGGACGGUACUGACGCUGAGACGCGAAAGCGUGGGGAGCAAACAGG